UGUUUUAUAUUUGGCAAAGGCAGUCGAUGUUGCCAGUGCAGAAUGAAGCGACCGCUUUGUAAUUAGAAGCUUCAUAUAAUCUGAUAUGCGGCCAGCGUUAUGCGGCUAAAAAUCGACGUCACUUCCGUUGUAGUGUGAUCAAACGCUUAACUUAAGCGUAGUAUUAUUUCCGGCUUACACCUUUCCGAAUAUCAAAGACAAAAAAGGCUGAAGUCGGCAGCAGGGAGCUUAAUGUUGGAUUCAAGAUCCGUACGUUUUGAUGUGAUAAUAUAGUGUAUCUAAAAUGGACACUUAAGAAUACGCCAACUAAAAAGGAAACACUAAAUUGCAUACACAAUGCAAACAUAGAAACAUCUGUGUGUACGCCGGUUCAGAAGUUUGUGCCACUUAUCAUGGGAAAUAAAAGAGCUACAGUAAUAUGUUGAUGACAUCUGCAAUGCAGCAGGUGUUAAACCGGCUAUAAACCAAGGAAAUACAAAUGUUUAUGGCGCGUUACGAUUUGUAUCAGACUUGGAUGUUAUGGGCAUGUGGAUACUGCUAAAAACUGAUUGACUGCUGAAAAUGUUUUCUCUCACAGAAAAAGAAAGAAAUAUUUAUUAUCGGGACAGUAAGAAUAUAACAUAAUUAUAAGCCAAUAUUAAGCCAACAAUAAAAUCCCUCAUUCAGCCCCAUGCUACAGUAUCAGCUUGACUCAUAAUAAGUCUAUUUAUUCAAUGCUAGAAAGUUACGUCUCCUAAUCCGCACAUCAAUUUAUCAUUAUAUAAUAAUGUAUUAAUUCUACAUGUCCUAGCUUCAGAACAAAUCUUUCAUCCCACAAACAUACGAGAUGAAAUAUCGGGAAAUCAAAUCACGAAUCAGUCAGCGAACUGCAAGUGAACAUUGCAUUAUCGUCACCGCAUAAAAUUCACCGUUACCAGCCACCAUCGGCGACAGCGGACGGUCGAGCCGGCGCCAGCUAACGGGCCGCGGGAUUUACGUGCCGGCAAAAAAACUACAACUCUAAUUAACUCGUUCGUUUCAAUCAUUUCGAAACGCUAAGGGAUUUAGUUCUCCGGGUUGUCGAACUUGGUUGCUGGAAUUUGGGCCUGUUAAUAAAUGUA